rnacentral:rRNA from 1 species
CUACGGGUGGCUGCAGUGGGGAAUAUUGGACAAUGGGCGAAAGCCUGAUCCAGCAAUGCCGCGUGAGUGAUGAAGGCCUUAGGGUUGUAAAGCUCUUUUACCAGGGAUGAUAAUGACAGUACCUGGAGAAUAAGCUCCGGCUAACUCCGUGCCAGCAGCCGCGGUAAUACGGAGGGAGCUAGCGUUGUUCGGAAUUACUGGGCGUAAAGCGCGCGUAGGCGGCUUUUCAAGUCAGGGGUGAAAUCCCGGGGCUCAACCCCGGAACUGCCCUUGAAACUGGAUGGCUAGAAUACUGGAGAGGUGAGUGGAAUUCCGAGUGUAGAGGUGAAAUUCGUAGAUAUUCGGAAGAACACCAGUGGCGAAGGCGACUCACUGGACAGUUAUUGACGCUGAGGUGCGAAAGCGUGGGGAGCAAACAGGAUUAGAUACCCGGGUAGUC